AUCUCCACACCAGAGCCACGAGUUCCAGGUAGCUCUACAUUUGACACAAUUUCUCACCAUGCCAAAGAAAUCUCUUCUCCCAGGCCACAGCCAAAUGGAACCAUCUGCACCAUGAAGCUGAAGAUAAAGCCGCAGAAAGAUUGCUGUAUUGUGAGUGGAGAAGAGCCCUGCUUCUCUUCACUGGCUGAUGUGCAGACAUUUAUUAGUAAAUCUUCACGGCGGUCUAGGGAGGCCUUUGACUGAGCGCUGUUCAUCGAGUCCAGCCCCGGCUUUGCAAAUAAACAGCUGACACCAAGAGAGGAGAAGCAACACGGCUGAGGCCACAGGGUGACAAAGCCUUAACAGCAAGAAGGGGAGAAGGCAGUCAUCUGGAAACGAGGAAGACAGCCCUCACCAGAAACUGACACUGUUGGACCUCGAUCUUGGACUUGCAGCCUCUAGAAUUGCAAGAAAAUA
rnacentral:lncRNA from 10 species